AUGGUCUCAAUCAACUCAGAUAAUCUAGAGGUGAUUGAGACCAUGCAGGACGAAGGACAGUCAACGGGUGCGGCGGCGGCAAUCUUCGAUGACUGCUUCCACUACGCAUGUGAUUUCAUCAUGACUAGAUUCGAACAUUGUAAUAGAGAGGCAAAUAAAGUAGCACAUGAACUUGCUAGAUUAGCUAGAUUUUCUUCAACUUCAGAUUGGUUCGAGGAGCCUAUCAGUGAAAUUGUACUCAUCCUCAUAAACGAUGUAUUGAUUAUUUCUAAUGAAUAA
rnacentral:rRNA from 1 species